rnacentral:rRNA from 1 species
GGGGAAUUUUCCGCAAUGGGCGAAAGCCUGACGGAGCAACGCCGCGUGAGGGAUGAAGGCCUCUGGGCUGUAAACCUCUUUUCUCAAGGAAGAAGACCUGACGGUACUUGAGGAAUAAGCCACGGCUAAUUCCGUGCCAGCAGCCGCGGUAAUACGGGAGUGGCAAGCGUUAUCCGGAAUUAUUGGGCGUAAAGCGUCCGCAGGUGGCCCUGUAAGUCUGUCGUUAAAGCGUGGAGCUUAACUCCAUUUAAGCGAUGGAAACUACAGGGCUAGAGUGUGGUAGGGGCAGAGGGAAUUCCCGGUGUAGCGGUGAAAUGCGUAGAUAUCGGGAAGAACACCAGUGGCGAAGGCGCUCUGCUGGGCCAUCACUGACACUCAUGGACGAAAGCCAGGGGAGCGAAAGGGAUUAGAUACUCCUGUAGUCC